AUUGAACGCUGGCGGCAGGCCUAACACAUGCAAGUCGAGCGGCAGCGGAAAGUAGCUUGCUACUUUGCCGGCGAGCGGCGGACGGGUGAGUAAUGUCUGGGAAACUGCCUGAUGGAGGGGGAUAACUACUGGAAACGGUAGCUAAUACCGCAUAACGUCGCAAGACCAAAGAGGGGGACCUUCGGGCCUCUUGCCAUCAGAUGUGCCCAGAUGGGAUUAGCUAGUAGGUGGGGUAAUGGCUCACCUAGGCGACGAUCACUAGCUGGUCUGAGAGGAUGACCGGCCACACUGGAACUGAGGCACGGUCCAGACUCCUACGGGAGGCAGCAGUGGGGAAUAUUGCACAAUGGGCGCAAGCCUGAUGCAGCCAUGCCGCGUGUAUGAAGAAGGCCUUCGGGUUGUAAAGUACUUUCAGCGGGGAGGAAGGUGUUGAGGUUAAUAACCUCAGCAAUUGACGUUACCCGCAGAAGAAGCACCGGCUAACUCCGUGCCAGCCGCCGCUGUAA
rnacentral:rRNA from 1 species